CUUUUUUAUUUUAUUUUUUAUUUUUUUUAUUACUCAAGUGAAUUUAUCACAUCUGUAGUUGUAUAAUGAUGAUAUCAAUCCGAUUUCACAGGAUUUCCAUCCCACAGCCCAAGCACAUCCCCCUACCCCCAAAACUGUCUCCUCCAGAGACCAUAAGUUUUUCGAUGUCUGUGAGUCAGCAUCUGUUCUGCAAAGAAGUUCAGUCUGUCCUUAAUAUUGAUUCUUCCAAUCCAAGAACAUGGUAUAUCUUUCCAUCUGUUUGUAUCACCUUUGAUUUAUUUCAUCAGUGUCUUGUAGUUUUCAGAGUACGGGUCAGGGACCCCCCUUUAGUCUUAUCUGUUAUUCCUUACUUUUCAUACACAGAGGAAGUGUCCGUGGGUCUCUUAGGUAACCAAAUCCUAAUUUUAACAGGAGAGGAGGCAGCAAGAGGAGAAAGAGAACUAGAAAGUUGAAACAGAAGACCCUCUAGACAGACACAGCUUCCAUCGGUCUGUCCGCCUAUCCUCCCCACCUUCCACGGUUGUGGGUCAGCCCCUCCUCUGCACCGACACAGGCAGACCCUGUCCCAAGAAGCUCAAAGGAAGACAUCCAAAGCCACACACGUCUGGGUGCUCCAGACACCUCCGGGGUGCCUCCCUCGGGGAAGGGUCAGAGGGCAUUUCUGGGGAGGACACAGACCAGGAUAGACAGGGGAAGUGGGGAGGCCAUGCCUCAGAGGAACACCCUCUCACAGCAACAGAUGUGGGGGUCGAAGCUCAGUAGGAAGAGGCCUGAAGAGGUGUGGCUGGGAGGGAGGGAGGGCACCGACCUGGAGGAAGCAGGCUGAGCAGGUGAGGAAGGCAGGGAAUAGCCCCCACAAGCAGAGAUGCCUCAGCUCAGGGAGCAAGAGAAGCCUCCAAAGGAAACACAGGAGAGACGGCUGGACACGGGGGUGGAAAACCAGGAGGCUCAUCAUCCUGGGAGCCCAGGGUCCCUGUGGACCAGGAGAGACAUGGAAAGAAAGGACCUGAUUCUGUCUGGAGGUCAGUGGAGGCCUCACUUGAGCACCAUGGAUGGGCUCAAGUUCAGCUGCAGGUGUUUGCAGAGGGCGGGGGGUGGGAAGGAUGAGGAGAAAGUCAGGGCCUAAUGUUUUCUCCCAAGCUCUUCCGUGGACUGAAGGAGAGAGCAGACAGAAGGUACUGGGAACAAAAGGUCAGUGGAGGGAGGUGAACGUGUUUGUCUCAGAAAAAAACCCAGGAGAGGGGAAACAUGGUGUUGCCAAGGCAGCCACGCUGAUCGGGGCGGGGGAUGGAGAGAAACAGAGUAGAAGAUGGGGGUGGGGGGUCAGAGGAAGAAUCAACGUAAAGGUGGGAGGCAGGAUAGGAGGAGGGGGCCGCGAUUUCCACCCCCCAGAUGGCGGAGGGGCAGGGGAAGCGGUAGGGGAAGUCGAGGCUUUCCUCCCAGACUUGGUGAAUUUGCCAUGCGGGUGGGAACCCCAAGUGAGGAUGAAAAGGUGUUUGGGUCCAUGGGCCUGGCUGUACUCAGACAUGAACAAGGGGGCAACAGUAGCCCCCCCGAUGUGCAGGGCGUGGCCCAAGGAGAAUGUGUGAGCAGAGGAGAGCAGAAAGAGGCGACCACAGCCUAGGGGGCUCUGAUACUGGAGGGAGGCGGGGAGGCAGGCUGGAGGAGCGGACAGACAGAAAGGUCCACACACCCUGGGUGUGAGACUCAGAGACCACAACUUGGGGAGCCUUUAUUACCCCCCGCAUCUUCUCAUGGUAUAACAACUGGUCUGUCUUCCCCCAGACUCUGAGUUUCCUCAGGACACAGCUGGGACUAUGGGCUCUUUGCCCUGAGCAGAGCGCACAGUAGGUGUUCCACUGGCAUUUAGUGAUGGGUGGAUGGGUGGAUGAGUGCCAUCCAGGGACAAGAUUUGGGGUCCUUGCUGAGGCAGAGCUGAAGAAUGAGACAGGGAUCCUGAGCAGACUCGGGGGAUCUCUUGGCAGGAAGGGGGCCCGUAUGGGUCUUGAGCAGUAGGGGAGACAGAGAGAGACAUGAGGCACCAAGCAAGGGAGGGACAUUCAGUGCUGAUGAGAACAGAAAGCGAUGCCCACCCUGGGGUGUAGAGAUGCUGGGGGAGGGUGUUGUGUUGCUCUGGAUUUAAGACACUCAAGGGGGAGCGUCCCAGACAGGGUUGGCUCUGAGAGGGUCACAUCUCCAGGAGCAUAGCAGCUUUCCCAUGGCGGGCAGGGGCAGGGUGGUCCAGGGAAUCUGUAUGGAGUAGAGAAAUUGGGCACAGGGGAGAACCUGGUCCCCCUGGAUGGAUGGAUGGAUGGAUGGACGGACA
rnacentral:lncRNA from 1 species